GAUGAACGCUAGCGGGAGGCUUAAUACAUGCAAGUCGAGGGGUAACAUGAGAGCUUGCUCUUGAUGACGACCGGCGCACGGGUGAGUAACGCGUACACAACCUACCUUCAAGGAGGGGAUAGCCUCGGGAAACUGAGAUUAAUACCCCAUGUGAUUAACUUAUAAUAUGAUUGGUUAAUUAAAGAUCCGUCGCUUGAAGAUGGGUGUGCGUCCCAUUAGGUAGUUGGUGAGGUAAUGGCUCACCAAGCCGAUGACGGGUAGGGGGCGUGAGAGCGUGACCCCCACACGGGUACUGAGACACGGACCCG
rnacentral:rRNA from 1 species